rnacentral:rRNA from 1 species
AGUAGGGCGGGACACGUGGUAUCCUGUCUGAAUAUGGGGGGACCAUCCUCCAAGGCUAAAUACUCCUGACUGACCGAUAGUGAACCAGUACCGUGAGGGAAAGGCGAAAAGAACCCCGGCGAGGGGAGUGAAAAAGAACCUGAAACCGUGUACGUACAAGCAGUGGGAGCACAGAGCAAUCUGUGUGACUGCGUACCUUUUGUAUAAUGGGUCAGCGACUUAUAUUCUGUAGCAAGGUUAACCGAAUAGGGGAGCCGAAGGGAAACCGAGUCUUAACCGGGCGUUAAGUUGCAGGGUAUAGACCCGAAACCCGGUGAUCUAGCCAUGGGCAGGUUGAAGGUUGGGUAACACUAACUGGAGGACCGAACCGACUAAUGUUGAAAAAUUAGCGGAUGACUUGUGGCUGGGGGUGAAAGGCCAAUCAAACCGGGAGAUAGCUGGUUCUCCCCGAAAGCUAUUUAGGUAGCGCCUCGUGAAUUCAUCUCCGGGGGUAGAGCACUGUUUCGGCAAGGGGGUCAUCCCGACUUACCAACCCGAUGCAAACUGCGAAUACCGGAGAAUGUUAUCACGGGAGACACACGGCGGGUGCUAACGUCCGUCGUGAAGAGGGAAACAACCCAGACCGCCAGCUAAGGUCCCAAAGUCAUGGUUAAGUGGGAAACGAUGUGGGAAGGCCCAGACAGCCAGGAUGUUGGCUUAGAAGCAGCCAUCAUUUAAAGAAAGCGUAAUAGCUCACUGGUCGAGUCGGCCUGCGCGGAAGAUGUAACGGGGCUAAACCAUGCACCGAAGCUGCGGCAGCGACACUGUGUGUUGUUGGGUAGGGGAGCGUUCUGUAAGCCUGUGAAGGUGUGCUGUGAGGCAUGCUGGAGGUAUCAGAAGUGCGAAUGCUGACAUAAGUAACGAUAAAGCGGGUGAAAAGCCCGCUCGCCGGAAGACCAAGGGUUCCUGUCCAACGUUAAUCGGGGCAGGGUGAGUCGACCCCUAAGGCGAGGCCGAAAGGCGUAGUCGAUGGGAAACAGGUUAAUAUUCCUGUACUUGGUGUUACUGCGAAGGGGGGACGGAGAAGGCUAUGUUGGCCGGGCGACGGUUGUCCCGGUUUAAGCGUGUAGGCUGGUUUUCCAGGCAAAUCCGGAAAAUCAAGGCUGAGGCGUGAUGACGAGGCACUACGGUGCUGAAGCAACAAAUGCCCUGCUUCCAGGAAAAGCCUCUAAGCAUCAGGUAACAUCAAAUCGUACCCCAAACCGACACAGGUGGUCAGGUAGAGAAUACCAAGGCGCUUGAGAGAACUCGGGUGAAGGAACUAGGCAAAAUGGUGCCGUAACUUCGGGAGAAGGCACGCUGAUAUGUAGGUGAAGUCCCUCGCGGAUGGAGCUGAAAUCAGUCGAAGAUACCAGCUGGCUGCAACUGUUUAUUAAAAACACAGCACUGUGCAAACACGAAAGUGGACGUAUACGGUGUGACGCCUGCCCGGUGCCGGAAGGUUAAUUGAUGGGGUCAGCGCAAGCGAAGCUCUUGAUCGAAGCCCCGGUAAACGGCGGCCGUAACUAUAACGGUCCUAAGGUAGCGAAAUUCCUUGUCGGGUAAGUUCCGACCUGCACGAAUGGCGUAAUGAUGGCCAGGCUGUCUCCACCCGAGACUCAGUGAAAUUGAACUCGCUGUGAAGAUGCAGUGUACCCGCGGCAAGACGGAAAGACCCCGUGAACCUUUACUAUAGCUUGACACUGAACAUUGAGCCUUGAUGUGUAGGAUAGGUGGGAGGCUUUGAAGUGUGGACGCCAGUCUGCAUGGAGCCGACCUUGAAAUACCACCCUUUAAUGUUUGAUGUUCUAACGUGGACCCGUGAUCCGGGUUGCGGACAGUGUCUGGUGGGUAGUUUGACUGGGGCGGUCUCCUCCUAAAGAGUAACGGAGGAGCACGAAGGUUGGCUAAUCCUGGUCGGACAUCAGGAGGUUAGUGCAAUGGCAUAAGCCAGCUUGACUGCGAGCGUGACGGCGCGAGCAGGUGCGAAAGCAGGUCAUAGUGAUCCGGUGGUUCUGAAUGGAAGGGCCAUCGCUCAACGGAUAAAAGGUACUCCGGGGAUAACAGGCUGAUACCGCCCAAGAGUUCAUAUCGACGGCGGUGUUUGGCACCUCGAUGUCGGCUCAUCACAUCCUGGGGCUGAAGUAGGUCCCAAGGGUAUGGCUGUUCGCCAUUUAAAGUGGUACGCGAGCUGGGUUUAGAACGUCGUGAGACAGUUCGGUCCCUAUCUGCCGUGGGCGCUGGAGAACUGAGGGGGGCUGCUCCUAGUACGAGAGGACCGGAGUGGACGCAUCACUGGUGUUCGGGUUGUCAUGCCAAUGGCACUGCCCGGUAGCUAAAUGCGGAAGAGAUAAGUGCUGAAAGCAUCUAAGCACGAAACUUGCCCCGAGAUGAGUUCUCCCUGACCCUUUAAGGGUCCUGAAGGAACGUUGAAGACGACGACGUUGAUAGGCCGGGUGUGUAAGCGCAGCGAUGCGUUGAGCUAACCGGUACUAAUGAACCGUGAGGCUUAACCUUACAACGCCGAAGGUGUUU